CUGAGACCCCCCCCCCUCAACCCCAUCAGACACGCACCAGAAACGCCAGCUUCCCAACACGGGACCAGGGGAAGUCGUAGAGCAGCUGUGGAGCGUGGUGUACCUCCUGUGGGACAGCAGAAGCGGCCGUGUCCUCAGGUCCUUGGAGAAGUACUUGCUGAGCUUCUGCUCCAAGUCCACAAAGACGUACUCGCCGUCUGAAAAGAGAAGCAGGGCCUUCAGCAGAGCCGGGAGGGGCUCACGCAAGGCGGCGUCCUGGGGGCGGCAGUCUACCAGCGUGCCGGGGGACGGCGUCCAGGUGCCAAAUGCCUCUGGCUUCCCAGACGGUUCCCAGAGUGUAGGGAUAUUGGCUACGGAGACCUAGAUGUUGGACCGAGACGCUGAACUGGGACCGAGGCUGCUACACGCUGCAGACACAGCCUCAGAGGGCGGGGGCAGCGCGGCAAGACACGUCCAGGGGUCUCCCCUCAACCAGCGGUCCCUCUCCCAGCUGUGGAACGAGUCCUUUGAAGACAGAAGUGCCUUAAACCUGGAACCAAAUACGGCGACUUCAAGUCAACAAUCAGCUGGAAAAAAAUGAGAUUGUCCUAGUGAGGAGCCUGAAGCCAAAGCCAUCCCUCCAGUUACUCUGGGAACCAGGCGACCCGCAGGCCCUCGACAGCAGCACAGACACCCCCUCAAGCACACACACCCUGCUGUUCGUGCCUUUCUGUGAUGACAACUUUGGUUCCAUGAGGCAGAAAUACGUCUAGAACGAGAUGACAGAUGUGUGACACUGACACACUUCCUUCUCCCCAAAUAAAUCAAG